rnacentral:rRNA from 1 species
UACGAAGGGGGCUAGCGUUGUUCGGAAUUACUGGGCGUAAAGCGCACGUAGGCGGACAUUUAAGUCAGGGGUGAAAUCCCAGAGCUCAACUCUGGAACUGCCUUUGAUACUGGGUGUCUUGAGUAUGGAAGAGGUAAGUGGAAUUCCGAGUGAUAGAGGUGAAAUUCGUAGAUAUUCGGAAGAACACCAGUGGCGAAGGCGACUUGACUGGACACAUAUUGACGCUGAGGUGCGAAAGCGUGGGGAGCAAACAGG